AACACAUGCAAGUCGAACGCGGUUGCCCCGCAAGGGUAACUGAGUGGCGGACGGGUGAGUAACACGAGGGUGACCUACCCUCGAGUGGGGAACAAUUCCCCGAAAGGGGUGCUAAUACCGCAUGACAUCCUGUCUUUGAACAGAUGGACAUUAAAGCCGGGGAUCGCAAGACCUGGCGCUCGUGGAGGGGCCCGCGCCCGAUUAGCUAGUUGGUGAGGUAACGGCUCACCAAGGCUUCGAUCGGUUACCGGCCUGAGAGGGCGGACGGACACACUGGGACUGAGACACGGCCCAGACUCCUACGGGAGGCAGCAGUGGGGAAUUGUUCGCAAUGGGCGAAAGCCUGACGACGCAACGCCGCGUGGAGGACGAAGAUCUUCGGGUCGUAAACUCCUUUCGAUCGGGACGAAUGAUCGGCGACCUAAAACGUCGCCGGAAUGACGGUACCGAGAGAAGAAG
rnacentral:rRNA from 1 species